ensembl:processed_transcript
AAUUUGAAAUCCACCUGUCGCCUUUUCCUCCAGUGAAUUCAUCCUCGCACAACACUGAGAUGAAGGCAAAGUCACCAUGAAAAGUUAAACGUUUAACGUUAAGCUACAGCAAUUGAUGUUGAAAAACUGAUGCUACCAAUCUCUCCUCACUUGAUUAUUCAAGCUCAGAUUGUGAUGAACCUGGAAUGCGACACCAGUUACUCUUAAGUCAAGAACCAAAUAAAGCACAGAUGUGGAGGGAUCUACAACUAAACUAACUGGAGGAAAGGAACCUUUAGUGUGGGUGAACAUACUACCUGGAUGUCCAACAAAGACUGCACAAGAGCUCAUUUAAUGGCACAUUCUGUCCUGUCUACAUCUCUGACAACCUGAAAGUGCUUCGACAUCAGAUCAUCAGAAGUGCUCCUGCCCUUUUUCACUGUCCCUUUUCUACAACAUCAUUUGGCCUUCAUCAUUUCGUGUCUUGUAGCAGUAUUUUCACCUGUUUUUAAAAUUGUAAUACUUUUUGAUGCAUUAAUUGUUGACUGGUUUUAAUGAUCAAUUUUUCAUUAGUGUUCUGUUGCUGUGUUAUAUUGAAUAAUUGCUACUGUUUCAGUAUGGUUUACACAAUAAACUUUUAUU